GACGAACGCUGGCGGCGUGCUUAAUACAUGCAAGUCAACUGAACUUAAGAUAGCAAUAUUUUAAGGGAGGUGGCGCACGGGUGAGUAACACGUAGGUAAUCUGCCUUUAGGACUGACAUAACCCAGAGAAAUCUGGGCUAAUAUCAGAUGAUGCAGCGGCUCGACAUCGAGACAGUUGUUAAACCUUCGGGGCCUAAAGAUGAGCCUGCGUCUGAUUAGGUAGUUGGCGGGGUAACGGCCCACCAAGCCAUCGAUCAGUAGCUGGUCUGAGAGGAUGAUCAGCCACACUGGAACUGAGACACGGUCCAGACUCCUACGGGAGGCAGCAGUGGGGAAUAUUGCGCAAUGGCCGAAAGGCUGAAGCAGCAAUGCCGCGUGGAGGAUGAAAUACUUUUGUAUGUAAACUCCUGUAAGAAGGGAAAAUAUUCCGAUUUAUCGGGAUUGAUUGUACCUUCAGAGUAAGCCCCGGCUAACUACGUG
rnacentral:rRNA from 1 species